GAUGAACGCUGGCGGCGUGCCUAAUACAUGCAAGUCGAGCGAACGGACGAGAAGCUUGCUUCUCUGAUGUUAGCGGCGGACGGGUGAGUAAAACGUGGAUAACCUACCUAUAAGACUGGGAUAACUUCGGGAAACCGUAGCUAAUACCGGAUAAUAUUUUGAACCGCAUGGUUCAAAAGUGAAAGACGGUCUUGCUGUCACUUAUAGAUGGAUCCGCGCUGCAUUAGCUAGUUGGUAAGGUAACGGCUUACCAAGGCAACGAUGCAUAGCCGACCUGAGAGGGUGAUCGGCCACACUGGAACUGAGACACGGUCCAGACUCCUACGGGAGGCAGCAGUAGGGAAUCUUCCGCAAUGGGCGAAAGCCUGACGGAGCAACGCCGCGUGAGUGAUGAAGGUCUUCGGAUCGUAAAACUCUGUUAUUAGGGAAGAACAUAUGUGUAAGUAACUAUGCACAUCUUGACGGUACCUAAUCAGAAAGCCACGGCUAACUACGUG
rnacentral:rRNA from 1 species